GACGAACGCUGGCGGCGUGCUUAACACAUGCAAGUCGAACGGUGAAGGCGGAGCUUGCUCUGCCGGAUCAGUGGCGAACGGGUGAGUAACACGUGGGCAACCUGCCCCUCACUUCGGGAUAACUCCGGGAAACCGGGGCUAAUACCGGAUACGACCUCCUUGGGCAUCUUUGGAGGUGGAAAGUUUUUCGGUGAGGGAUGGGCCCGCGGCCUAUCAGCUUGUUGGUGAGGUAGUGGCUCACCAAGGCGACGACGGGUAGCCGGCCUGAGAGGGCGACCGGCCACACUGGGACUGAGACACGGCCCAGACUCCUACGGGAGGCAGCAGUGGGGAAUAUUGCGCAAUGGGCGAAAGCCUGACGCAGCAACGCCGCGUGCGGGAUGAUGGCCUUCGGGUUGUAAACCGCUUUCAGCAGGGAAGAAGCCGCAAGGUGACGGUACCUGCAGAAGAAGCACCGGCUAACUACGUGCCAGCCGCCGCAGUAA
rnacentral:rRNA from 1 species